rnacentral:rRNA from 1 species
UCCUGGCUGUAAACGAUGGUCACUAGGUGUUGGAGGUAUUGACCCCCCCAGUGCCGCAGUUAACGCAAUAAGUGACCCGCCUGGGGAGUACGGCCGCAAGGUUGAAACUCAAAGGAAUUGACGGGGGCCCGCACAAGCGGUGGAGCAUGUGGUUUAAUCGGAUGCAACGCCGAGAACCUUACCAGGGCUUGACAUCCUUGGACCGCCGUAGAAAUACGGUUUUCCAACUUCGG